rnacentral:lncRNA from 1 species
GGGGGCACUGUGGGGGCAAUGGGGGGAGGAAUGGGGGGGGCACUGGGGAGGGCAGUGGGGCGGGGGGGGGGAGCUGCAGAAUGGGGUCAUUGUGGGAAUGGGGGGUGGGGGCAGCACGGUGUCCCCAUAGGGUAUGGGAUGUGGGGACACAUAGAAUGGUGUCCCUAUGGGAAUGGGGUCAUGGGGUACACCUCAAUGUCCCCAUAGGUUGUGGGAUAUGGGGACAGACAGAACAGUGCCCCUAUAGGGAAUGGGGUGUGGGGUACAGCCUAAUGAUCCCAUAGGUUAUGGGAUAUGGGGACAGACAGAACAGUGUCCCUAUGGGGAAUGGGGUGUGGGGUACAGCCUAAUGACCCCAUAGGUUAUGGGAUAUGGGGACAGACAGCCUGGUGACCCUAUGGGAACGGAGCAUGGGGUACAGAACGGUGUCCCCAUAGGUUAUGGGAUAUGGGGACAGACAGAACGGUGUCCCUAUAAGGAAUGGGAGGGGGGGAGAAUUGCUGUGUCCCUAUAGGGAAUGGGGUGUGGGGACGUGAAGAACAGAGUCCCUAUGAGGAAUGGGGUGUGGGGUACAGAACGGUGUCCCCAUAGGUUAUGGGAUAUGGGGACAUAUAGAAUGGUGACCCUAUGGGAACGGAGCAUGGGGUACAGCCCGGUGUCCCCAUAGGUUAUAGGAUAUGGGGACAGACAGAACAGUGCCCCUAUAGGGAAUGGGGUGUGGGGUACAGCGUAAUGACCCCAUAGGUUAUGGGAUAUGGGGACAGACAGAACAGUGUCCCUAUGCGGAAUGGGGUGUGGGGUACAGCCGAAUGACCCCAUAGGUUAUGGGAUAUGGGGACACACAGAAUGGUGUCCCUAUG